rnacentral:rRNA from 1 species
UACAGAGGGUGCAAGCGUUAAUCGGAAUUACUGGGCGUAAAGCGUGCGUAGACGGUUAUGUAAGUCAGAUGUGAAAGCCCCGGGCUCAACCUGGGAAUGGCAAUGGAUACUGGCAGGCUAGAGUGCGGUAGAGGGUAGUGGAAUUCCCGGUGUAGCGGUGAAAUGCGUAGAGAUCCGGAGGAACACCAGUGGCGAAAGCGGCCACCUGGACUGCACCUGACGCUGAAACGCGAAAGCUAGGGGAGCGAACGGG